UACGAAGGGGGCUAGCGUUGCUCGGAAUCACUGGGCGUAAAGGGUGCGUAGGCGGGUCUUUAAGUCAGGGGUGAAAUCCUGGAGCUCAACUCCAGAACUGCCUUUGAUACUGAGGAUCUUGAGUUCGGGAGAGGUGAGUGGAACUGCGAGUGUAGAGGUGAAAUUCGUAGAUAUUCGGAAGAACACCAGUGGCGAAGGCGGCUCACUGGUCCGGUACUGACGCUGAUGUGCGAAAGCGUGGGGAG
rnacentral:rRNA from 1 species